GCCCAGCUUGCUGGGUGGAUGAGUGGCGAACGGGUGAGUAACACGUGGGUAAUCUGCCCUGUACUCUGGGAUAAGCCCGGGAAACUGGGUCUAAUACCGGAUAGGACAUUCUACCGCAUGGUGGGGUGUGGAAAGUUCCGGCGGUACAGGUUGAGCCCGCGGCCUAUCAGCUUGUUGGUGGGGUGAUGGCCUACCAAGGCGACGACGGGUAGCCGGCCUGAGAGGGUGACCGGCCACACUGGGACUGAGACACGGCCCAGACUCCUACGGGAGGCAGCAGUGGGGAAUAUUGCACAAUGGGCGCAAGCCUGAUGCAGCGACGCCGCGUGGGGGAUGACGGCCUUCGGGUUGUAAACCCCUUUCGCCCGGGACGAAGCGCAAGUGACGGUACCGGGAGAAGAAGCACCGGCCAACUACGUGCCAGCAGCCGCGGUAAUACGUAGGGUGCAAGCGUUGUCCGGAAUUAUUGGGCGUAAAGAGCUCGUAGGCGGUGUGUCACGUCUGCCGUGAAAACCUGCGGCUUAACCGUGGGCGUGCGGUGGAUACGGGCAUCACUUGAGUUCGGUAGGGGAGACUGGAAUUCCUGGUGUAGCGGUGGAAUGCGCAGAUAUCAGGAGGAACACCGGUGGCGAAGGCGGGUCUCUGGGCCGAAACUGACGCUGAGGAGCGAAAGCGUGGGGAGCGAACAGGAUUAGAUACCCUGGUAGUCCACGCCGUAAACGUUGGGCGCUAGGUGU
rnacentral:rRNA from 1 species